rnacentral:lncRNA from 1 species
AGCAGCCAUGCUGGGCUAUGUGAGCAGGAGAGUUGAAGCGGAUAGUAUAUAGAGUUCCAGGGUUGACGAUCAAGAUACCAGAAUUUCCAGUCGACUUGGAUUUUCUGGUGGCACCUUGGAAAAUGGACAACUAUAUUCUGCUGGGACGAGAUUUCUUAAAGGCAGCAAGAGUGUCUCAUCAGUGGAAUGAUCCGCUUCACUUGUGGAUUCCAAAUCCACAUGGCAGUGAUAGAGUGUAGAUUGGCAUGGAAGAAGGGGACAAGCCCAGAGAGCAAGUUUUUAUCACGGUGUUGGAAUCAAGAGCUGAAAAUCAAGCUGUGCCAAUGCCAGUGGCGUUCCAGACAGUGGACAGUUCUGAGGCUUGGAUGGGAGGAACCAAAGCAAUGCAUCUCACAGCAUUUUUGGAGAAUGUGGAACUCACAGCAAUGGUGGAUCCAGGAGCACUUGGCAACUUUUUGACAAAAGAUGGAGCAGCUCGAGCAAGCUUGGCGAUUACAGCUCUUCCUGAG